CUUGCCCCCAUAAGAGGUCCAGCCUGCCCAGUGACCUAGUUCAACGGCCGCGGUAUCCUAACCGUGCGAAGGUAGCGUAAUCACUUGUCUUCUAAAUAAAGACUAGUAUGAAAGGCACCACGAGAACUUAACUGUCUCCCUUUUCUAAUCAGUGAAACUAAUCUCCCCGUGAAGAAGCGGGGAUCCUCAAAUUAGACGAGAAGACCCUAUGGAGCUUCAAACACUAACCACUUGCCCGCACAUUAAUUACCCAGGUUUCCUCAAUCAACGCAAUAUGAUUACGUGUUUUUGGUUGGGGUGACCGCGGAAAAUAACUAAACUUCCACAAUGAUAACAUCCAAACUACAAGCUACAGCUUUAAGUAUCAACAAAUUGACAUUCAUUGACCCAAUAUAUUGAUUAAUGAAC
rnacentral:rRNA from 1 species